AGAGUUUGAUCCUGGCUCAGGACGAACGCUGGCGGCGUGCUUAACACAUGCAAGUCGAACGAUGAUGCCCAGCUUGCUGGGUGGAUUAGUGGCGAACGGGUGAGUAAUACGUGAGUAACCUGCCCUUGACUCUGGGAUAAGCCUGGGAAACUGGGUCUAAUACUGGAUACUACCGGCCAUCGCAUGGUGGUGGGUGGAAAGGGUUUUACUGGUUUUGGAUGGGCUCACGGCCUAUCAGCUUGUUGGUGGGGUAAUGGCUCACCAAGGCGACGACGGGUAGCCGGCCUGAGAGGGUGACCGGCCACACUGGGACUGAGACACGGCCCAGACUCCUACGGGAGGCAGCAGUGGGGAAUAUUGCACAAUGGGCGGAAGCCUGAUGCAGCGACGCCGCGUGAGGGAUGACGGCCUUCGGGUUGUAAACCUCUUUCAGUAGGGAAGAAGCGAGAGUGACGGUACCUGCAGAAGAAGCGCCGGCUAACUACGUGCCAGCAGCCGCGGUAAUACGUAGGGCGCAAGCGUUGUCCGGAAUUAUUGGGCGUAAAGAGCUCGUAGGCGGUUUGUCGCGUCUGCUGUGAAAGCCCGGGGCUCAACCCCGGGUCUGCAGUGGGUACGGGCAGACUAGAGUGCAGUAGGGGAGACUGGAAUUCCUGGUGUAGCGGUGAAAUGCGCAGAUAUCAGGAGGAACACCGAUGGCGAAGGCAGGUCUCUGGGCUGUUACUGACGCUGAGGAGCGAAAGCAUGGGGAGCGAACAGGAUUAGAUACCCUGGUAGUCCAUGCCGUAAACGUUGGGCACUAGGUGUGGGGGACAUUCCACGUUUUCCGCGCCGUAGCUAACGCAUUAAGUGCCCCGCCUGGGGAGUACGGCCGCAAGGCUAAAACUCAAAGGAAUUGACGGGGGCCCGCACAAGCGGCGGAGCAUGCGGAUUAAUUCGAUGCAACGCGAAGAACCUUACCAAGGCUUGACAUUCACCGGACCGCCCCAGAGAUGGGGUUUCCCUUCGGGGCUGGUGGACAGGUGGUGCAUGGUUGUCGUCAGCUCGUGUCGUGAGAUGUUGGGUUAAGUCCCGCAACGAGCGCAACCCUCGUUCUAUGUUGCCAGCACGUGAUGGUGGGGACUCAUAGGAGACUGCCGGGGUCAACUCGGAGGAAGGUGGGGAUGACGUCAAAUCAUCAUGCCCCUUAUGUCUUGGGCUUCACGCAUGCUACAAUGGCCGGUACAAAGGGUUGCGAUACUGUGAGGUGGAGCUAAUCCCAAAAAGCCGGUCUCAGUUCGGAUUGAGGUCUGCAACUCGACCUCAUGAAGUCGGAGUCGCUAGUAAUCGCAGAUCAGCAACGCUGCGGUGAAUACGUUCCCGGGCCUUGUACACACCGCCCGUCAAGUCACGAAAGUUGGUAACACCCGAAGCCGGUGGCCUAACCCCUUGUGGGAGGGAGCCGUCGAAGGUGGGACUGGCGAUUGGGACUAAGUCGUAACAAGGUA
rnacentral:rRNA from 1 species